rnacentral:misc_RNA from 1 species
UAGGAGCGAAGCUUGCUCGCGAUGAACGAUGACGCGGUAUCCAGUUACUCCGCGUAGCCUCUUUCGCGAGCAAGCUUCGCUCCUA